GAAAAAUAAAAAGAUGAACUCUUUGAGAUUAGAGGUAAUAAUAUCAAGAAAUAUCUGUUCUCAUUUGAGUGCAUGUGUCUCUGCAAAAUUCAUAUGUUGGAACUUAAAGCCCAGGGUGAUGGUAUUAAGAGGUGGUAGAAAGGCAUUUGGGAAUGGAUUACAUCAUAAAGGCUCUACCCUGAUUAAUGGGAUUAUGGAACAGGCUUCAAAGAGCUACCUGGAACUUCCAUCACUUCUACCAUGUGAAGAUAAACAUGAAUCUCUUUUUUCCCUUAUAUUUCUUCUGCCAUGUGAGAACACAGUAUUUGUCUUUUCCACCUUUCCAUGAUGUGAGGACACCCCAAGAAUGUCCCCUAAAGACAGGAAACAAGACAUGGAAUCUUCUGGCACCAUGAUCUUGGACUUCAUAGCCUCCAAAAUGUGAAGGGAACGAGAGCAAAGCCACCUGCAUAUCUUCGGCAGUUAAAGAUCAGAAUCAUAACAACAAUAACAUCUCACAAUUUUCCAAGUGCUCCUUCGGCUCUGUCUUUUUCCUCCCACCUGAGGCCCCCAGGGUGGGUGUAGACAUUCAUCUCUGCUUCAUUUGAUCCACCUCUGCUUGGCCACUGCUGGACUUUUUCUCAGGCAAAGGAGAACCCCCAGGAGAGUGGAUAAACUGGACCAAGGAGCUGCAGAGGUAGUUUGAUUUCACCACAAUCAUUUCAUCUGUCUUAGCAAAACCCCCUUGGGCUUGCCCUGUAGUACACAAACUUGGCUUUGUUCACGCAGCUCAAAUAGAACACUUCUCCUUCAAAAUUUAACUCAGCUCUCGGAAACACUGAAAGGAAAUGUGGCCUAUAAUUAUCCAACGUGAGAUGCAAGGAUUGAAUGCUUUGUCCAAGCUUUGCUGUUCUAAGAGAAGUCAAGGUGAAGGGUUUAGUGCCUCUGAAGCUGGGGCAAGAAAACAAUCGGCUUCUCCAACGGUCAGUAAAGAAUACAAGGGCACAGUUAAAACAGAGCCACUGAAGUGAACAACCUUCAUGUGACCAACAGGAGAAACACCCCCUCCAGGAACCUAAGACCAGUUUGCUACAAGAAUACAAUUGGUAUUCCCCACAGUCACCCUCACAAGGGACACUUACAAAGCACACUCCAAUCUCAGCCAUUACUGACUGACAAGAGCCUGCCUGUCUGAAGCCUGCAGGCCCGAGAAGCUUCUUUCUCCCUUCUCUUGGCUAUUAGUCACAGCUGGUAAGGCUCACAGGAACCGAGACUGUUUGAAAACAGUUGGAUCACGAAAACGUUUGAGUCUUUCUGCUGCAAGCAACAAACUUGGCCCAGGCUGCCACAAGGAGAUGGAGUGGGAGUGGGGGUGGCGAUGGGAUGCACCAGGAACGAAGGAAGAAAGGGAAAUUGCUAACCACCUCACUUCAAAAUCUUCUCUGAGGGAGCCCGUGGCUAUUAUCCUGGUUCAAAUGUCACAGAUAGAAGAUAAUAAAAACAAGAAGAAAUAAAAUUCAAGAUCCAUUAGAACACUUCUGGAUUGUCCAUUACAGCAUGUAUUACCCAACAGAAAGAUGAUCACUAAUAGAUGACAAGCUAUUUAAUUUUAUGUUUACUUUUGGAAGGAUGCAGGUACUGUGCAGGGUUUCUACAACACAUCAGCAUUGCUUACACCAGUACUUCAAAUAUGAGUUAUUUAAUCACCCAAGUUAAAUGAAAAUAACCAAAUGAUUAAAUAAAAUCAAGUCAUACUUCAUGUGAAGACUUUA
rnacentral:lncRNA from 1 species